AUACGGAGGGUGCAAGCGUUGUUCGGAAUCACUGGGCGUAAAGGGCGCGCAGGCGGUUUGGUAAGUCAGAUGUGAAAGCCCACGGCUCAACCGUGGAAGUGCAUUUGAAACUGCCAGACUUGAGUACCAGAGGGGAAAGUGGAAUUCCCGGUGUAGAGGUGAAAUUCGUAGAUAUCGGGAGGAAUACCGGUGGCGAAGGCGACUUUCUGGCUGGAUUCUGACGCUGAGGCGCGAAAGCGUGGGUAGCAAACGGGAUUAGAAACCCUAGUAGUCC
rnacentral:rRNA from 1 species